ACAGUUGUCGCCGAGUGGUUAAGGCGAUGGACUAGUAAUCCAUUGGGGUCUCCCCGCACAAGUUCAAAUCCUGUCGACUGCG
rfam:Ixodes scapularis strain Wikel colony gcontig_1108379850612, whole genome shotgun sequence.